AGGCUCCCAAUUCUUACCACAGACUGUGUUCUUACACUGACUGUAUAGAAAGAGGAGGUACAGUAGUAAAUGCACCCCAUAUACACCUCAACACAGGCCCUUUGCCUGGUCUGUAUUGUGAAUCGGGGGACAAAA